CAAGGUGAAGCACUGCAAGUUGCUAAACAAUGUCAAAGAUUAUGAAACUUAGCAAAUAUCUGCAAAGUUUUUUUAGAGCAGACUGCAUUUGACAAAAUUUCUAAGCAGUACAAAUUUAAUUACAUUUAUCUUUUUCUUUCAUGUAUUUCAAGAAGGUUUAACUUCAGAGUACAGAGUUCUGCUGCCUGAAUUUACAUUGUGCAGUGCAAAUAUAGCAAUAAAAACCGUGUUUCUUCCUCUGCAAUACUCUCAAUAUGACAGUUGUGAAAAAUAGCCUCUCUGGAGAAUUCUCAUGGGAAUCUAUCAGCCAAAGCACAAGUUUCACUUAUGUUGAGUGGAAAUGGAGGCUUCUCUAAAAGAAACUAUUGGCAGAGGCAAGUGAACCACUGAAACAAAAUACAUUGGCAAAUAAGAAAGAAAUCACAAGGCAGACAAGAGCUGCCCUGAACAAUGGUGGAGAGGAGGUUGGCACAGCCAAGUUCUCUGCAGUCACCCUGCUGCUGCAUGUGGAUCAGAUUCAGACCAGGGCAGUGGGAUGCAACAAGCUGAAUUUCUUGACUGACCUUCAGCCUUCCCCCUCCGUGGCAAUAUACAGCUUUCUGUUCUGCUAAGUGAAAGUCAGAAACAGGGGCCAACUGAAAAGUAAUUCUUUUCACUCUUUUGCAGAAACAACAAAAAGGUUGCUUCUGAAGAUGAGAAAUUCUUUUGCUCAUCUCUACUGGAGACUGAAUUGUUUAUUGUAUUGACUGCCCAUCAUUGUGGGCUGGGUUUUAACAGAUAUGACAAUUUAUCUGUAUCAAGGAUGGGGGGGGUGCUGUUGUGAUACAUUAAAUACCUUUGCAAUCUUUUUUAUUUUUUUUCUUCUUAUCUUUCUUUCUCUCUUUCUUUUUUU
rnacentral:lncRNA from 1 species